CCUGGCCUGCCAGGACCCAGAGGGAGCGGAGCACGCGCCUUUGGGAAUCUUCGGUGCGCCAAGUCUGUUCGCCGCCGGGGUCUAUCACCCCCGCCCCUCGCCUCUGCCCGUGAGCGUCAGCUGGCUUGGCUUUUUCAGAGGAAACAGAGACUCUCAGACAUGAAUACUGUGACACUGACCACCAGGCCAACUUAACAUCAGCAGAUAUCCUGUCUCAGAUGAAGAGAUGGAGUCUCGCACUGUCGCCCCAGUUGGAGUGUAAUGGUGCGAUCUCGGCUCACUGCAAGCUCCGCCUCCCGGGUUCAUGCCAUUCUCCUGCCUCAGCCUCCUGAGUAGCUGGAACUACAGGUGCCCGCCACCACGCCCGGCUAAUUUUUUAAUGGCCUGUCCAGAAGACAGCCAAAUACAUCCUUCAAACAGACUUCACUGCAGGAGACAGAGUGGAUUCAUCCUGUAUUCUCCAUGUAGACUUCCAUCUUCAUGAGUACUCCAAGAAGAUGGUUCAGUUGACUAUUGCAAAGUCUCAGGUAUGUCUUUAUCAGCAGCAUGAAAAUGGACUAAUAGUACCAGUAGAGUGGGGCAUUGCUGAAAAGAUACCCGAAAAUGUGGAAGCAACUUUGGAACUGGGUGUUGAAAUAAUCUGGAGGGCUCAGAAGAAGAUAGGAAAAUGUAGGAAAGUUUGGAACCUCCUAGAGACUGUGAAUGGCAUUGACAAAAAUACUGAUAGUGAUAUGAACAAUAAGGUCCAGGC
rnacentral:lncRNA from 1 species